CGUGAACCUCGCCACCGCCCAGCUUAGCCUCAUCCAUUCCACAUCACCUAUGGUCGGGGAGACAUGAGCAGUUCUCCACCCAGAUCCCGUCUCUCAGCCGUUCUGGCAGCGGCCGACAGCACUCGGCAAGUUACGGUGCUAGCAAAGCACGGCGAGCGGUGGUGGCGGGAAACGGCGAGUGGCUGUGCAUGCUGUUGUGGGAGUGGUGGUGGCGGCAAACGGCGAGCGGCGGCGGCACGGGCUGAUGGGCGAGCGGGGGCUGGGGGUCCAGGGCUGAUGGCCGAGCGGCGGGGCAUGCUAAUGAGCGACCGGCGCUCUGUGGGCUGAUCUUCUACGCUGAUCAGUUCUCAUUCGCAUGCACGGUAAAGGAGGCGGCAGAUCCAUAUCUCUAGCGAACAGCCGCCCGAGGCAAGGUCUUCUCGCCACCUAGCCAGAAGUUUGAUCCUUCCGAAGAGGUAUUGGGAAGUAAUAUUGGAGAUAAAUCGAGUUGUAAUAAUGCUCAUGAUACCAAUGAUGACGAUGGUAUCUAUGGCAAUAUGGGAGAUUAUAUAUAUGGUGAGGAGCCUUAUGAUCAGUACGACGAUAUGGUGAUGAGGCUGAUGAUCUUCGAGUCAUGCAACAAAGUGAAGUUAUGAAGUUCAUCGACAAUUAGCUUAUGCAAAACAUUUGGACCAUUAUAUCUUAGUUACUAUUUUGUUUUGCAUUGGACACUUCUUAGAUGCAUCACUAUGGUCAUUG